CAGUAGCCGCGGUAAUACGAUGGGUGCAAGCGUUAAUCGGAAUUACUGGGCGUAAAGCGUGCGUAGGCGGUGAGUUAAGUCUGCUGUGAAAUCCCCGGGCUCAACCUGGGAAUGGCAGUGGAUACUGGCUUGCUAGAGUGUGUCAGAGGAUGGUGGAAUUCCCGGUGUAGCGGUGAGAUGCGUAGAGAUCGGGAGGAACAUCAGUGGCGAAGGCGGCCAUCUGGGACAACACUGGCACUGAGGCACGAAAGCGUGUGGAGCAAACAGGAUUAGAUACCCCUGUAGUCCCUGUCUCUUAUAC
rnacentral:rRNA from 1 species